CAACACAUCACACACAGGAAACAGUUGUGCUCAUGUGAUGGGGGCCUCAGCACUAGGAAGGAGUGGACUAUUGGCGCAUGUAGCAGCUUGAAUAAAUCUGAAAGUCACUACACUGCGUAAGAGAAGCCAAAUAAAAAAGUUCAUGCUGUGUACAGAGGGUGUUGAGAAUGCCUCCUACGUGACGGAAAGCAGAUCCGUGGUUCCCUGCAGACCGGCAGGAGCAGAUUCCAAAGGCACAGGAAGAAGCUUGCAGCUGACAGAAGCUCAUGACAGCCUGGUUUAGAUAAAAGGGGAAAGGACGACUGGAAGAAUCUUGGAGUUGGGAAUAUGGCACAUAAUUGAAGGAAGAGCAAUAAAACUAUAAUUCUUCCCGUGGAGACUGGAGUUUCCAGGAUGUGAAAAUUACCUCUGCUUGGGUGAGCUAUUCCAAGCAGCUGGGAUACCUGUGUCACUCCUGCUGUCUGCCAGUGACUGCCCAGGUGUCCGCUGGUUCCUCCCCAGGAGUAGGGAGGAACCAGGUGGGCUGGCUGGGAUGGGUGGAUAUUUAAAGACCAGGCCUUGGACGCUGCAGCACUUGUAUCUCUGCUUGAGGCCUGCUGCCAUGUGGCUGGUCCUCCUCCUCCUGCCGUGACUGAGCCCCGGGAUGAAGACAGGCAGCUGCUCCCAACCCCAGCAACUUUGCUAUCUUAGAACGGAUCACCAGUGAAAGAGGGGAAGUUGCUACUGUGAUGAAUUCUGCCAUGUGGUACCAGACUGCUGCCCAGACCACAGUGUCCUCUGCAACCCUGCUUCUCAGAUGACCAAGAUGGUGCUGCCGAUGGUGUUGAGGACGGAGAACCCACCAAGCCC
rnacentral:lncRNA from 1 species